AUGAAGGGUAAUCGUACUAAAGUUCAGAAGGCGUAUAUCCCUUGGGAAGACGAAAACAACAGAUCUUCUUCAUCUUCUAGUUCAAGCUCAAAUGAUGAAUUUGAAAAUAUGUGCUUCAUGGAAAACAAAAAUGGUAUAAUAAUGAAAGAAUUGGUCAAAGAUAACACUACCAAAGAGGAUCCUAUGAAAGACGAGGUUAUUAAGAAUGAUAAAGAGGAUAAAGAACACGAGGAAUAA